AGAAUUAACGCUGGCGGCGUGCUUAACACAUGCAAGUCUAACGAGAAAGUACUUCGGUAUGAGUAAAGUGGCGGACGGGUGAGUAACACGUAGGUAACCUGCCCUUGCGAAGGGGAUAACCUGCCGAAAGGCGGGCUAAUACCAUAUAACGCUACGAGGCCAUAAGGUCUUGUGGUCAAAGGAUGGCCUCUAUUUAUAAGCUAUCGCGUAAGGAUGGGCCUGCGCACCAUUAGCUAGUUGGUAGGGUAACGGCCUACCAAGGCUCCGAUGGUUAGCUGGUCUGAGAGGACGACCAGCCACACUGGAACUGAGACACGGUCCAGACUCCUACGGGAGGCAGCAGUGGGGAAUCUUGGACAAUGGGGGAAACCCUGAUCCAGCAACGCCGUGUGAGUGAUGAAGGUCUUCGGAUUGUAAAGCUCUGUUAAUCGGGAAAAAACUCGUAAGCAUCAGAUCCUUACGAUUGAUGGUACCGGUAGAGGAAGCACCGGCUAACUCUGUGCCAGCAGCCGCGGUAAUACAGAGGGUGCGAGCGUUAUUCGAAAUUAUUGGGCGUAAAGCGUGAGAAGGUGGUGAGGUAAGUCUUAAGUGAAAGCCUCGGGCUCAACCCGAGACGGUCUUAGGAAACUGCCACGCUAGAGGUGAAGAGAGGAGAGUGGAAUUCCCAGUGUAGUGGUGAAAUACGUAGAUAUUGGGAGGAACAUCGGAGGCGAAAGCGGCUCUCUGGCUUCAUUCUGACACUCAUCCACGAAAGCGUGGGGAUCAAACAGGAUUAGAUACCCUGGUAGUCCACGCCGUAAACGAUGGAUGCUAGUUGUCGGCAAGCAUGCUUGUCGGUGACGCAGCUAACGCUUUAAGCAUCCCG
rnacentral:rRNA from 1 species